CUGAAAACGCCGGACCCUGUGAGCAACUGUACAUACAACCUGUUGUACCAAGAUUUGAAGAGGUUUUCCAACAAUGGGGAGCAUUUCUGCAAGGUCAUGACAGUAUUUCAGCAAAGGGCUGAGCUGGAGAUCAGUUAUGCCAAGGGACUGCAGAAGCUUGCUGGGAAACUCAUCAAGGCAUCCAAGUUGAUGAAUGACAACUUGAUAAUGUUGUUGAGGAAACCGGAAAACUUGUUGUGACUAACUGGAGUGAACAAAUCAAGGUCACCAGGCUGCUCGUUUAUGGCGCACACCUGUCACCAGCAUUUCGCGCAAUUGUGCAUAAUGACACUCACCUGGACUCCAUCACCUCCUUGAUUACCUGCCCUUUAUAUGUCACUCCCUUUGGUUUCUUCCCAAGUCGACAUUGUUUCUGUUGCUGUUUCAUGUCGGUGCGCUGUUUGUGUUUCUUGUUUUCUUUAUUUAUUAAACGUAUUCACUCCCUGAACUUGCUUCCUGACUCUCAGCAUACAUCAUUACACCUAUAAGGAGCAUUGGUAGCAAAUCUGACGGCCAAA